GGGGGGGCAAGCGUUGUUCGGAAUUACUGGGCGUAAAGGGCGCGCAGGCGGCCCGGCCAGUCCUACGUGAAAUCCCACAGCUCAACUGUGGAACUGCGUGGGAUACUGCCAGGCUUGAGUCCGGGAGAGGGGAGUGGAAUUCCCAGUGUAGCGGUGAAAUGCGUAGAUAUUGGGAGGAACACCGGUGGCGAAGGCGGCUCUCUGGACCGGCACUGACGCUGAGGCGCGAAAGCUAGGGGAGCAAACGGGGAUUAGAUACCCCGGUAGUCCUAGCCCUAAACGAUGAGCACUUUGUGUGGCGGGUAUCGACCCCCUGCCGUGCAGAAGCUAACGCAUUAAGUGCUCCGCCUGGGGAGUACGGUCGCAAGGCUG
rnacentral:rRNA from 1 species